rnacentral:rRNA from 1 species
GCGUGGAUGAUGUGGAUUAAUUCGAUGCAACGCGAAAAACCUUUACUACCCUUGACAUGUCUGGAACCUUGCUGAGAGGCGAGGGUGCCUUCGGGAGCCAGAACACAGGUGCUGCAUGGCUGUCGUCAGCUCGUGUCGUGAGAUGUUGGGUUAAGUCCCGCAACGAGCGCAACCCUUGUCUUUAAUUGCCAGCAUUCAGUUGGGCACUUUAAAGAGACUGCCGGUGUUAAGCCGGAGGAAGGUGGGAUGACGUCAAGUCCUCAUGGCCUUUAUGCCCAGGGCUACACACGUGCUACAAUGGGUGGUACAAAGAGAUGCCAACUCGCGAGAGCGCGCCAAUCUCAGAAAGCCAUCCUCAGUUCGGAUUGGAGUCUGCAACUCGACUCCAUGAAGUUGGAAUCGCUAGUAAUCGCGGAUCAGCACGCCGCGGUCGAAUACGUUCCCGGGCCUU